rnacentral:rRNA from 1 species
UGGGGAAUUUUGGACAAUGGGGGCAACCGUGAUCCAGCAAUGCCGCGUGUGUGAAGAAGGCCUUCGGGUUGUAAAGCACUUUUGUCCGGAAAGAAAACGCCGUGGUUAAUACCCGUGGCGGAUGACGGUACCGGAAGAAUAAGCACCGGCUAACUACGUGCCAGCAGCCGCGGUAAUACGUAGGGUGCAAGCGUUAAUCGGAAUUACUGGGCGUAAAGCGUGCGCAGGCGGUCCGCUAAGACAGAUGUGAAAUCCCCGGGCUUAACCUGGGAACUGCAUUUGUGACUGGCGGGCUAGAGUAUGGCAGAGGGGGGUAGAAUUCCACGUGUAGCAGUGAAAUGCGUAGAGAUGUGGAGGAAUACCGAUGGCGAAGGCAGCCCCCUGGGCCAAUACUGACGCUCG